rnacentral:rRNA from 1 species
AACGAACGCUGGCGGCAGGCUUAACACAUGCAAGUCGCACGAGAAAGGGCUUCGGCCCCGGUACAGUGGCGCACGGGUGAGUAACACGUGGGUAACCUUCCCCAGAGUGGUGGAUAACCUGCCGAAAGGCGGGCUAAUACAGCAUACGACCGGUUGUCUUCGGGCGAUUGGUGAAAGCAGGCCUCUGUAUACAAGCUUGCGCUCUAGGAUGGGCCCGCGUCCCAUCAGCUAGUUGGUGAGGUAACGGCUCACCAAGGCUACGACGGGUAGCUGGUCUGAGAGGAUGGCCAGCCACACUGGAACUGAGACACGGUCCAGACUCCUACGGGAGGCAGCAGUGGGGAAUCGUGCGCAAUGGACGAAAGUCUGACGCAGCGACGCCGCGUGGGCGACGAAGGCCUUCGGGUUGUAAAGCCCUGUGGGGCGGGACGAACACACUCUAUUCGAACAGGGUAGGGUGCUGACGGUACCGCUUUAGCAAGCACCGGCUAACUCUGUGCCAGCCGCCGCGGUAACAC